AGUGCCCCUAGAGGUGUUACAGAUGUGACUGUUGUGUCAUGUGUGUCAUUAGGUGGCUCUGACUUGUGAACAACUGGGUGGUUGAUAGUAUGACACU
ensembl:snoRNA